UAGGGUUGUGCUCCCAGAGCAGAUCUCCAGGGCUGGGUCUUCAGCAGUUCCAGGCCUCCACUCCCUCCUCACUCUGUUUCUUUUCUUCCCGCCUGUGAGCUGGGGUCAGGGAAGGGCUUUGGUCCUGCCAGGUCACUAUUUUGCUACGUUACCCUGUUCCAUGAGGUCCGCUUUUUUCUCCAGGUGUAUGCAGUCUUGUCCAGCUUUCUUUCCUCUUGCUCUUUCAGGAUUAGUUGUAUUAAUUUUAUUUUUCUAUUUUAUGUAGUUUUAGGAGGAGGUCUCUGUCUCACCUCUCAUGCCACCAUCCUCAAGGCAUCCUUUUUUAUAGUAGAACCAGGGACUGGCAAAGGACAAACUCUCCUAUUACGUGAAGGGUUGGAACAAGAAAUUCUGCUCAUGGAAUACUAUGGAGAGCAAUCCUUCUCAAUUUUUAAAAUGUAAGGAAUCAGAUCACCUGAGAUUCUGUACAAAUGAAGGUUCUGAUUGAGUAGGUCUGAUUGAAUAGGCUGCUUUCUGGGGUCCAGUUUUCUGCAUUUCUAGAAGCUCUCAGGUGAGGUUGAUGCUCAUAGUCCAUGAACUGCAGCAAGGAUUUAGUUUAAUAGGUUUUACUACUGGUCUGCCAGGUACUCAAAGGGAGAAAUAUGUUAAGCUGGAAAAGAUUUUAUUGGCAAGGAGAUACCCUCUUAGAGGCCCUUUUCAGGAAGCUUUUCAUUACAACCCAAAGUUCAAACCCAAGAACAAAUAGGACACACCACACAGAAAAUAGGAGGGUAACCAUGAGGGGAGCUAGCUAAGGCCUCCUGGAAAUGUAUAAGGUCAAUAGGGGCCUAUGUGGCAGCAAUAACAGCAUGAACAAAGAGCUAUCUUGCUCUUACUAAUUAGUCUUUACACUGUGUUGACUGACUUUGAGAAAAUACAAAGAUAGUUUGUGGGCUUCUAGAGUCAACCAGUCAGGAUCCAGAAUGACACCCCAAAAGGAAAGAACUAGCUCUAGAGAUACAACAGAAAGAAGAGAUCAACUCUACGUAUGGUAUUUGUUCCAGACAUUGGUGUUUGGAGAAGUUUACCGUUCCUUCUGAUAAGGGAUUAGUGAUUAAAAACAAAUUAUACCUGUGUCAAAUGCAUUACAAUGUUAUUUGUGUUCUAGAGUUAAUUGUUUAGUAAAUUAAUUCACAUAUGAUUAAUGGUUUUGUUUUGAUUACUGUCUCACCAAUGGGUUUCAGCUCCCGGUAAGUUCACUAUGGAUUCAGUGAGACCUAGGAGUGACAGUGGAACAUU